AGGUGAGCCGGGACAGCCUUCUUCCUCCGCCCAGCCGCCACAGUGAUUGCCGUCAAGUCUGCCACAGGAGGAUAUUUUUUUGAGGUUAACCUGCUUUCUCCCUCGCAGGUCAAUUAUUACUGUUUGUAUAAACUUGUUAAAUC